AGCGAACGCUGGCGGCAGGCCUAACACAUGCAAGUCGAACGAAGUCUUCGGACUUAGUGGCGGACGGGUGAGUAACACGUGGGAACGUGCCUUUAGGUUCGGAAUAACUCAGGGAAACUUGUGCUAAUACCGAAUGUGCCCUUCGGGGGAAAGAUUUAUCGCCUUUAGAGCGGCCCGCGACUGAUUAGCUAGUUGGUGAGGUAAAGGCUCACAAAGGCUACGAUCAGUAGCUGGUCUGAGAGGAUGACCAGCCACAUUGGGACUGAGACACGGCCCAAACGCCUACGGGAGACAGCAGUGGGGAAUCUUGCGCAAUGGGCGAAAGCCUGACGCAGCCAUGCCGCGUGGAUGAUGAAGGUCUUAGGAUUGUAAAAUCCUUUCACCGGUGAAGAUAAUGACUGUAGCCGGAGAAGAAGCCCCGGCUAACUUCGUGCCAGCCGCCGCAGUAACAC
rnacentral:rRNA from 1 species